AUGAAAUUCAAGAUGCUGCUGUACAAUUUGCUACAACCCAGCCAGAUUUUGCUAACUCCAACUUCAGCUCAGCUCAGCGUGACAGAUACCAGGAAGAGAGUGUUAUAUACUCCACCACUAAUGUCAGAAGUGCUAGAAGAUCAAAACACCAAGCUGCUGUGGAGGAGGCCUCUGCACUGUACAGCACAUUUCAUUAAUAACUGAGUAUUUGCUGUAAGUAGGAUCAAUUUUGAAAUGUCUCUUUAUAUUUCCAAUGUUAAUUUCUGUUGCUUUAUCUCACCAGUAGUAAGUAGGAACAUGGAUUUUAUUUCCCAGACUAACUGUGUGACAACUCAGGUUAACUGUUGUUUAUAUCUUGUUUAAGAUUCAUAUAGAGAGAUUAGUGAUCUCUGGUGCCACCUUGUGACAAAAACACUUUGUGCUCAACAAAAACAAGUAAAAUUGUGGCUGUCUCAGUUUUUCCAGAUAAUAAAGAAAUGGUAAUUUA